GGCUUUGUAGCUCAACUGGUAGAGCAUACGCGUAAUAAGCAUAGGCGGCGUAUAUGCGUGGGUUUGAAUCACACCUAGGUUA
rnacentral:tRNA from 1 species